rnacentral:rRNA from 1 species
ACGAACGCUGGCGGCAUGCCUAACACAUGCAAGUCGAACGAGUAUGGCCUAGCUUGCUAGGGCCCAGCUAGUGGCAAACGGGUGAGUAACGCGUGGGAAUCUACCUAAUAGUACGGAAUAGCCACUGGAAACGGUGAUUAAUACCGUAUAUUCCCUGAGGGGGAAAGAUUUAUCGCUAUUAGAUGAGCCCGCGUUGGAUUAGCUAGUUGGUGGGGUAAUGGCCUACCAAGGCAACGAUCUAUAGCUGGUUUGAGAGAAUGAUCAGCCACACUGGAACUGAGACACGGUCCAGACUCCUACGGGAGGCAGCAGUGGGGAAUAUUGGACAAUGGGCGAAAGCCUGAUCCAGCAAUGCCGCGUGAGUGAAGAAGGCCUUAGGGUUGUAAAACUCUUUCGGUGGGGAAGAUAAUGACGGUACCCACAGAAGAAGCACCGGCUAACUCCGU